AAACCAACAGGGAUUGCUCUAGUAACGGCGAGUGAAGCAGCAAUAGCUCAAAUUUGAAAUCUGGCGUCUUCGGCGUCCGAGUUGUAAUUUGUAGAGGAUGCUUCUGGGCAGCCACCGACCUAAGUUCCUUGGAACAGGACGUCAUAGAGGGUGAGAAUCCCGUAUGCGGUCGGAAAGGCACCCUACACGUAGCUCCUUCGACGAGUCGAGUUGUUUGGGAAUGCAGCUCUAAAUGGGAGGUAAAUUUCUUCUAAAGCUAAAUAUUGGCCAGAGACCGAUAGCGCACAAGUAGAGUGAUCGAAAGAUGAAAAGCACUUUGGAAAGAGAGUUAAAAAGCACGUGAAAUUGUUGAAAGGGAAGGGAUUGCAACCAGACUUGCUCGCGGUGUUCCGCCGGUCUUCUGACCGGUUCAUUCGCCGCGUUGCAGGCCAGCAUCGUCUGGUGCCGCUGGAUAAGACUUGAGGAAUGUAGCUCCCUCGGGAGUGUUAUAGCCUCUUGUGAUGCAGCGAGCGCCGGGCGAGGUCCGCGCUUCGGCUAGGAUGCUGGCGUAAUGGUUGUAAUCCGC
rnacentral:rRNA from 1 species